rnacentral:misc_RNA from 1 species
AAGUCUCUUGGCUUUGUUCCGCAAUAGUAAAAGAGCAAUAGAAAUGCAUGAAGAUCUGUUGCAGGCUAGUCAAGGACCUGCAGAGUUAAUUGUAGGUCGUUUUGAUGGCAUUAAGGCUUUGCAAGAGCAAUAUGGACGUGAUGUUGUGAAGCAAGGAUUGGAGCUAUUGCUUGCUACAUUAUCUAAAAUGCUUGAUUCAUUCCAAGCAGC